GACGAACGCUGGCGGCGUGCUUAACACAUGCAAGUCGAACGGAAAGGCCCUGCUUUUGUGGGGUGCUCGAGUGGCGAACGGGUGAGUAACACGUGAGUAACCUGCCCCUGACUUUGGGAUAACUUCAGGAAACUGGGGCUAAUACCGGAUAGGAGCUCCUGCUGCAUGGUGGGGGUUGGAAAGUUUCGGCGGUUGGGGAUGGACUCGCGGCUUAUCAGCUUGUUGGUGUGGUAGUGGCUUACCAAGGCUUUGACGGGUAGCCGGCCUGAGAGGGUGACCGGCGACAUUGGGACUGAGAUACGGCCCAGACUCCUACGGGAGGCAGCAGUGGGGAAUAUUGCACAAUGGGCGGAAGCCUGAUGCAACAACGCCGCGUGCGGGAUGACGGCCUUCGGGUUGUAAACCGCUUUCGCCUGUGACGAAGCGUGAGUGACGGUAAUGGGUAAAGAAGCACCGGCUAACUACGUG
rnacentral:rRNA from 1 species